rnacentral:rRNA from 1 species
AACGUAGGGGGCGAGCGUUAUCCGGAAUCACUGGGUGUAAAGGGUACSCASGCGGAUUUGUAWGUNGGAUGUAAAAACUCAGGGCUCAWCCUUGGGCYUGCAUCCUAGACUACAAGUCUAGAGAGCAGGAGARGGGAGUGGAAUUCCCGGUGUAGGGGUNAAAUCCGUAAAUAUCGGGAGGAACACCAAUGGCGAAUGCAGCUCCCUGGCCUGUCUCUGACGCUCAGGUACGAAAGCGUGGGGAKCAAACACGAUKAGACACCCUGGUAGUCCACGCCCUANACNAUGGGUGCUUGGUGUUGGGGGGUMAUUCCCUCAGUGCCGUAGCYAACGCGUUAA